CCUAACUGAUUAACUCCGUCCUCACUAGUGGAGCUACAAUCAAUUGAAACAGCCGUGCCCCACUCCUCCGCCCCUCCUGCUGAAGUCAACCAACUAAGCAGAGAAUGAGGAUCAAAUUUGGAAACUUCCAGCUCUUCUCAGAACAAGAUAAGGCUUCAUCGGUUCAAUAAUGAAGCUGAGGUGGAGAAAGGUUUCGGAAGCCUUGAAAAAUUGCACUUCCUUGGAGAGUUUGUGACCACUGGGGGAAGCCUGCUGAGGAGUCAGGAACAUUUUGAAAGCUGCCUGCGGAGACCUCCAUUUCGAAAUCCCCGAAUGUGUGCUGCAGGAGCUCCAAUCGUAACAACAUCAUAAAUGCCAUCUAAUCAGGAGUGAACACAAGAAUAACUUCAAUUUCUGACAUUGUUUCUCCUUUCAAUGCUUUCAUUUGCACAUUGUUGAACUUUCAGAUUGAAUGAGGCAAAAGUGGCCUUUGGUGGUGAUGCAGUUUGCCCAUUUUCCUUUUCUGUUGACUAUCACCUAUUUUGCACUACUAGCGAAGGCCAAUUUAAGCCACAGUAGGUCUGGAUGACCAUGCAUUUCAAACUGAAAUUCUGUUCCUUUCACCUACUAUCAUGAAUAAAGCUUCAGUCUUCUAA